CGAAUGCUGACAUAAGUAACGAUAAAGCGGGUGAAAAGCCCGCUCGCCGGAAGACCAAGGGUUCCUGUCCAACGUUAAUCGGGGCAGGGUGAGUCGACCCCUAAGGCGAGGCCGAAAGGCGUAGUCGAUGGGAAACAGGUUAAUAUUCCUGUACUUGGUGUUACUGCGAAGGGGGGACGGAGAAGGCUAUGUUGGCCGGGCGACGGUUGUCCCGGUUUAAGCGUGUAGGCUGGUUUUCCAGGCAAAUCCGGAAAAUCAAGGCUGAGGCGUGAUGACGAGGCACUACGGUGCUGAAGCAACAAAUGCCCUGCUUCCAGGAAAAGCCUCUAAGCAUCAGGUAACAUCAAAUCGUACCCCAAACCGACACAGGUGGUCAGGUAGAGAAUACCAAGGCGCUUGAGAGAACUCGGGUGAAGGAACUAGGCAAAAUGGUGCCGUAACUUCGGGAGAAGGCACGCUGAUAUGUAGGUGAAGUCCCUCGCGGAUGGAGCUGAAAUCAGUCGAAGAUACCAGCUGGCUGCAACUGUUUAUUAAAAACACAGCACUGUGCAAACACGAAAGUGGACGUAUACGGUGUGACGCCUGCCCGGUGCCGGAAGGUUAAUUGAUGGGGUUAGCGCAAGCGAAGCUCUUG
rnacentral:rRNA from 1 species